AAGGAUUUAAGUUAAGGGUAAACUAAUAACCUUCAAAGUUAUCAAUAGAAAAUUUCUAAGCCUUA
rnacentral:tRNA from 1 species